rnacentral:rRNA from 1 species
GAUGAACGCUGGCGGCGUGCCUAAUACAUGCAAGUCGAGCGAACGGACGAUAAGCUUUCUUCUCUGAUGUUAGCGGCGGACGGGUGAGUAACACGUGGAUAACCUACCUAUAAGACUGGGAUAACUUCGGGAAACCGGAGCUAAUACCGGAUAAUAUUUUGAACCGCAUGGUUCAAAAGUGAAUGACGGUCUUGCUGUCACUUAUAGAUGGAUCCGCGCUGCAUUAGCUAGUUGGUAAGGUAACGGCUUACCAAGGCAACGAUGCAUAGCCGACCUGAGAGGGUGAUCGGCCACACUGGAACUGAGACACGGUCCAGACUCCUACGGGAGGCAGCAGUAGGGAAUAUUCCGCAAUGGGCGAAAGCCUGACGGAGCAACGCCGCGUGAGUGAUGAAGGUCUUCGGAUCGUAAAACUCUGUUAUUAGGGAAGAAAAUAUGUGUAAGUAACUGUGCACAUCUUGACGGUACCUAAUCAGAAAGCCACGGCUAACUACGUG